UUUGGGGUUGGGAUUGGGGGCUGGAGCAGCAGCGGUGGAAGGGGCAUGCAGAGGAGCAGGGAUGAUGGGGGGUUGUACUCUGCUUCUUCCCCUCUCGUUCUCCUGUGCCUGCCUCUUCCAUUCCUGCUGCUACCGCCGUGCUCGGUGGGCAGGGCUGGGC